UUCAUGUCCAAAGGCCACACAAUUCCUAUCUUUGACCUUGCUCGCUUUCUUCUUUGUCGCAAAAUUUGCAUCACCAUCUUCACCACUCCUGCAAAUCGUCCAUUCUUCUCUGAUUCCCUUUCCGACACCAACAUCAAUAUCAUCGAAAUCCCUUUUCCUCAAAACAUACAAGGAGUUCCUCCAGGUGUAGAGAGCACUGAUAAACUUCCAUCCAUGUCUCUUUUUGCUACUUUUGCCAACGCCACUAAAUUGAUGAAACCCCAUUUCGAGAAGGCAUUGGAGUCUCUUCCUCCAGUUGCUUUCAUGAUUACUGAUGGCUUUCUCAGCUGGACAUUCGAUUCUGCAAACAAAUUUGGUAUCCCAAGACUCGUUUAUUUUGGCAUGAAUGCAUUUUCAAGGUCUUGACGAUGUCAGCUACUUCAGUUCUUAGGACACAAGUGUCUGAUGAUGAGCUAUUUGAAGUCCCUGAUUUCCCCUGGAUUAAAAUCACUAGGAAUGACUUUGAUUUACCCUUCAGAGACCGGGAACCCAAAGGACCCCUUUUCGAUUUUAUCAAGGAGCAAUCCACGCCGACCUCUAAAAGCUAUGGUCUACUUGUCAACAGCUUUUACGAGCUUGAAUCUGUUUAUGCAAACUGUUGUAACCGUAUAUCUAGUCCUAAAUCAUGGUGCAUUGGACCUUUAUGUGCGUUUCACGAGCCGGCAAAAGAACAACAGGGAGUCUCAGAGAAACCUUCGUACAUCAAAUGGCUUGACGGAAUGCUAGAACAGGGGAAGCAAGUUUUAUACGUGGCAUUUGGGACCCAAGCAGAGUUAUCUCCUGAACAAUUCAAGGAAAUCAAAAUUGGGUUGGAGAAAUCCCAAGUCAACUUUUUAUGGGUAGUCAGGAGAACCAUAGAUGAAACUGACGACGAGUUUGAAAACAGAGUAAAAAACAGGGGACUGGUGGUAACAGAGUGGGUUGAUCAAAGAGAAAUCCUGAGGCACAGAAGCGUUGAAGGUUUUCUAAGCCACUGCGGUUGGAAUUCAGUGAUAGAGAGCAUAUGCGCGAAGGUGCCUAUACUGGCAUGGCCAAUGAUGGCAGAUCAACACCUGAAUGCAAGAAUGGUGGUGGAGGUAAUCAAGAUUGGACUAAGGGCUGAGACGUGUGAUGGGUCAGUGAGAGGGUUCGUCAAGUGGGAAGGACUGGAAAAGUCAGCAAAGGAGUUGAUGGAAGGAGAUAUAGGCAAAGAGGCAAGGAAGAAAGUGAAGGAGAUUGGAGAAGCAGCCAUUAAUGCUGUAAAAGAAGGUGGAUCAUCAUGGCAAACGUUGAAUGAGCUGAUUGUAGAGUUAACUGAAAGUAAAAGUGUUUGAAUUGUG